GGCCACUGAGCGGAGGGGACGGGCCGGUUCUACUACCAGUGACGGGGGUCACCCUGAGCUGAGCUGGACGCUGAGCACUGAGCUGGACGCCAACCGACGCACAGGGGAUGGUCUGGGGUGAUAGUGUUUGCUGUGGUAGUGUGGGUGUGCACUGUGCAACAUACAUGACUUACCAUAUAUGGACAUGAAAAGGGGGUUGUGCGUUGCUACGCCACAACAGUAAGGAAUCACAGACACUGACGUGUUGUGAGAUGUUGAACGCUCGAGGUUUUCGGUUCUCUGAACAUGCUUGCUACCGUGAAAUGUUUAAACACUUUGCCGCUAACGGUUUCUGAGUAUUUCGGGCCCGCUUAGAUGUUGAAUUAUGUUGCAAUCUUACGUGCUAGUGGAGAAACUUUGUCGAUGACGGACCCUGUCGAUUGAACGCAUGUUGGCGGCUGUAAAUCUAGCUGACAACCUCCCUUGACUGUGAUUGGUCGUCUGGCGAGUCAUGGGAGCUCAUUGGCGGAUCGACGGCCAAUCAGACCGCUGGACCUUUGUCGGGCUGAUUCACGCAUGGCACGGUUGUUUUGUUUGCUGUGUUACACUGUGCUACUUUGAGGUGUUGACUGACUCAUCCACCCACCGCUGUGGAUGUGUAUCCAUCCCAGGGAAUGAAAAGGGCGGGCUUUCGGGCUAAUUUCGAAACACGACAUUGGAUGAGAGCAGUCGUUUUUUUAUAUGAGGCACGAUGGCAUUAUAUUAUACACAGCUAUUUAUUAAACGUGUGCUGUUCUUAUGGUUUUAAUACAUCAGGUAUAGCCGGUCCCGUAGCUCAGUUGGUAGAGCGUUGGACUUCGCGUGGUGAGAUCACGCGCUCCUGGUUAUAACAGUCCGGGUUCGAAGCGCGACGGGCGCUUGACAUUUAUGGGCCGAUCCUGACAGGUAUGGUUGCGGUUGGUGGCAGGCCGCUGUCAGGCGAAGUCAGUGAGGGGACGGGCCGUGCGCGGCUAUGUGCGAACGUUAAACUUGAUCUUUGGACCCUAAAUUCUGCCACAGAACUGGAAUUGCACGACUGAGGCUAGAGGGCGGGGUCACCGCCAAGUCACCGCAACAAGCUUCGCUUGGCGGUGGCUCUGUCCUUGUGAAUCCUUCCUAUCAAAAGGUUCGGACUAAUUUUUUUUUUUUUUAAUAGUUGCCACCGUAAUGCUUCGAUUUUUCACUUGCUGUGUUGAUGUGAAUUGAAGUGGUCCAACCCAAGUCCAACCCACACCCAAGAUUACUUUACUAAUACCCACACAAAUCAUUUAUAAAUACGCCACCAAUCAUGCUAGGUGGUGAAGGAAAACCUUUGCAGCAUAAUAUGGAGGCCGUGUGAUCGUCUGCUGCGCAGCUUUUGUACCAGUUCCUUCAGUCGUGAGCAAGUCGUGAGUCACUGAACUCAAACUCACUGAAUGCUAUUUCAAUUUGUUAUGGUAGGGCAAGGCCCUAUAUGGUAGGGUAGGUAGGUGCUAGGUUCAUGAAGAUGUUAUUUUCAUUCUGAAUGAUUCAGCCUGAAAUAAAAUGUAGCUACCAACCAGUUUAUAGGAAUUAGGAUGUUUAUGUUAGUGACUGUGACUUUCUUUUUUGAUGCUUGGAAGGAUAAGGUAAAAAUCGUGUCUCCUUGCAGGACGAACAAAAUGAUGGCAUUUAUCAUUUUUAGCGACCUUCCACUUCCGUACAAUGAAGCAUGCCACCAGGUCUGCUAUCAAGGAGCCUGCACAAACUGAAAGACUGGCAUAUCUGGCUGGAGGGCUCAGGGGACGGUGACCGACUGUCAGCGAUGUCGGCCGCCCCCGACAUGGCCGGCGCGCUGAAGGAGAAGAAGCUCUCCUCGACCUCGCUGAUGGUCGGAGACGGCGGCCGCACCAAGACUGUCACCGUCAAGGUCGACGAGAACAAGCCCAAGCCGACCACCAAGAAAAACAAGCCCAUUCAGGCCGACCUCGACGUGGCCAAAGAGUUUCUCCGGUGUCGCGAUGAGGGAGCGCAUCGACUCGACCUCAGCAAGGCGAACAUUGCCCACCUGCCGGCCUCCGUACGCGAACUCACCGACCUACACGAGCUGUACCUGUACGGCAACAAGCUGACCACGGUGCCCGCCGAGCUGGGCUGUCUCACCAGCCUGCAGACGCUGGCACUCAACGAGAACUCACUGACGCAGCUGCCGGACGCGCUGGCGCACCUCACCUCACUCCGGGUGCUCGACCUGAGGCACAACAAGCUCAGCGAGAUUCCCGAUGUUGUUUACAAGCUAACAAAUCUUACUACGCUGUUUUUGAGGUUCAACAGGAUAAAAGUGGUCGGCGAUGACAUUCAAAACCUUGUGAACCUCACGAUGCUCAGUCUGCGUGAGAACAAGAUUCGCGAGCUGACGCCGGGCGUGGGCCGGCUGGUGAAGCUGGUCACCUUCGACAUCUCGCACAACCACCUGGAGCACCUGCCCGAGGCGAUCGGCAACUGCGUGCGCCUGUCUACCCUGGACCUGCAGCACAACGAGCUGAUCGACAUUCCUGAGACGAUCGGAAACCUCCGCGCACUCACCCGGCUCGAGCUCAGGUACAACCGUCUGACGGAGCUGCCUCGCUCGCUGGCCAAGUGUGUGCACAUGGAGCAAUACAAUAUGGAGGGCAACAGCGUGGCGCGCCUGCCGGACGGCCUGCUGUCGGCGCUCAACAGCCUGACCAGCGUCACGCUCGCCAGGAACUGCUUCACCAGCUUCCCGGUCGGCGGACCGGCCCAGUUCACGAACGUUGACGCUAUAAACAUGGAACACAACCAGAUCGACAAGAUCCCGUACGGCAUCUUCUCGCGGGCGCGUCACCUGACCAAGCUGAACAUGAAGGACAACCUGCUGACCUCUCUGCCGAUGGACAUCGGGACGUGGGAGCAUAUGGUGGAGCUGAACCUGGGCACCAACCAGCUGACCAAGGUGCCGGACGACAUCCAGCACCUGCAGAGUCUCGAGGUGCUCAUCCUCUCCAAUAACCUACUCAGGCGCCUGCCGCCGACGCUGGGCAAUCUCCGUAAGCUGCGCCUGCUCGAUCUGGAGGAGAACCGUCUGGAGACUCUGCCCAGUGAGAUCGGCUACCUGCGGGAGCUGCAGCGGCUGGUACUGCAGAGCAACUGCCUCACGGCGCUGCCCAGAGCUAUAGGUCUUCUAUCGAACCUCACCUACCUGAGCGCCGGCGAGAACAACCUAUCGCACAUCGUGGAGGAGAUCGGUAACCUCGAGUCGCUCGAGUCUCUCUACAUUAACGACAACCCGGGCCUGCACGGACUGCCGUACGAGCUGGUGCUCUGCUCCAGUCUGCAGCUGCUGAGCCUGGAGAACUGUCCGCUAACGCUGAUACCGCCCGAGAUUGUCGCCGCCGGACCCAGUCUGGUCAUACAGUUUCUCAAGAUGCAGGGCCCGUACCGGACCAUGUGACGGUCGGAGUCGGCCGCGCCCGUCGGCGGCGCCUCCUCCUCUCAAUGGCCCGGUGCGGCGUCCCCCUGUCUCUGCUGAUGACGUCUCUGGUACUGAUCGCCCAGCUGACUCCCGGAGCCGCACGGACACGACGCAGCGCCAGCUGCAAGGCCUGCACCGACCUCGUCGGAAAGUUCCAGGUUUGUUCGGGGCCGCAGGACUGUCCACUGAACACCUACUGCACCACGACGGGACUGGGAGACGGUCAGCAGCGCUGCUUCCCGGCCAAAAAGCCCGGCGGCACCUGCCUCGAAGACCGAGAGUGCCUCUCUGGCAGCUACUGUAACCAGCCGGCCUGUGGCGGCAUCUUCGACCCCGUGUGCUUCACCUACGUGUGCGGCGCGGUGAGCGCCUCUGCCGGCAUCAGUCUGGCGCAGGCGGCCGGCCUCAGCUCCGGGGACGUCCUUCCCGAGCUGGGAGGACUCUUCCAGCAGACGUCACGCUUUGGGUGAGACGGGAGAACUGCUGAAGACGUCAUGACCGGGGACGAGGAAUUAGAAGGGAAACCUUCAGCAGCCAUCAAUACAGCUAACCCUUCAGCAGACGUAACCGAUUGAGCGAAUAGCCAGACUUCGGACGAUCUACCGUUGAUCGACGAUUGAUCUACUAGUUUGCCAUCAAGCCAUUUGCCAGCCUUGCCGUCUGCUAAUCCAGGGCGCUUCUUAGGUUUUCCUUUACCUUUGUCUUCUAUGAACAAGACACUGACAGGGUGCUUGGUUGGAAGGAGCGUUUGACUGAAGUGUCUGCCGAUGUCCAAGUGCUCCGGACUGCGACCGUCAAACUGAGCCAGUGAAGCGUAGUGGAAAACAUUUGUUGCCUGCUGACUGUUGUGUGACAUUGCAAUUGCACCCGCCCGGGACAACGAUCUAGGUAACUUGAGAUACUUUUAACAUGACACUGGAAAAAGACAUGCUCCGAAAUUAGUCAGGUUUCGUAUAACUGGCGUUUCAUCAUUAGCUGUUUGUGUUUUAGUGAACACAUCCAUGUUCUGUACCUGACUCGUUUUAUCGCGUUAUUCCUUGACGUGGCAAAAGGGGCCACGUCAUAUGACAUGACAAUGAUUGUGAAAUGCUGAUGUUAUUUAUUAUUUAUUACAAAGAUGACAUGGUUUGUGGCAAUACACAAAAUUGCCAAUGAA